rnacentral:rRNA from 1 species
AGAAUCAACGCUGGCGGCGUGCCUAACACAUGCAAGUCGAACGCGAGAGGGGCUUCGGCCCCGAUUGAGUGGCAAACGGGUGAGUAACGCGUGGGUGACCUACCUUCGAGUGGGGGAUAACGUUCCGAAAGGGACGCUAAUACCGCAUAACAUCCUGUCUUUGGACAGAUGGAGAUCAAAGCCGGGGAUCGCAAGACCUGGCGCUUGAGGAGGGGCCCGCGUCCGAUUAGCUAGUUGGUGGGGUAAUGGCUCACCAAGGCGACGAU